rnacentral:rRNA from 1 species
UACGGAGGGUGCAAACGUUGCUCGGAAUCAUUGGGCGUAAAGCGCGCGUAGGCGGUCCGGAAAGUCGGGUGUGAAAUCCCUCGGCUCAACCGAGGAAGUGCAUUCGAAACUGCAUCGCUGGAGUCUCGGAGAGGAAGGUGGAAUGCUUGGUGUAGAGGUGAAAUUCGUAGAUAUCAAGCAGAACACCUGCGGCGAAGGCGGCCUUCUGGACGAUGACUGACGCUGAGACGCGAAAGCGUGGGGAGCAAACAGG